UUUUUUUUUUUUUUUUUUUGGUUGGAUGGUCUCCUGUUAUUAUCUGCUUGAGUGUUUUUUUUUUUUCAUUUUUUGCAAAUGCAAUAUUUGGUUUUGGCUUGUGGUUGCCCUGUUUUUUAAGUAUGCUAACCCCUUCCCAUAAUUGUGUGUUUUAGCCUGAUGGUCCUGUAAGUUCAAACACUUCAUUACUAUAUUAAAAUUAAGAAGAGAGACAUACAUACAAACAAAAAGGGUUAUUUACCUCCUAACAUCCCUUGCCCACAUUUUAUGGUUUUGAUGACUCUUUUUUAUUUUUUUCUUUUUAAUUUUAUUUUGUUUGAAGCAUGUUCAUGAUUAAAUCUGUAUGCUGGCUUAUUUGAGUGACUGCUCUCUGAUUGUAUCUUCCUCAGUCCUAGUUCUUCUUCUUCUUCUUCUUCUUUUUUUUUUUUUUUUCUUUUCUUUUUUCUUCCCUUUCCUUCCUUUCUUUUUGGUUUAGAGAAGCCCUUUCAAUAUUUCCUUUAACCUGGGUUUUGUGUUGCUGUAUUCUUUAAGUUUUUGUUUGUUGGGAAAAAUUUUUAUUUCCCCUUCUAUUUUAAAUGAUAUUCUUGCUGGAUAGAGUAUUCUAGGUUGCAUAUUUUUUCCUUUGAGCACUUUAAAUAUCUCUUGCCAUUCCCUCCUGGCCUGUAGUGUUUCUGUAGAGAAAUCAGCUGAUAUUCUUAUGGGGGUUCCCUUGUAGGUAACAUUCUGUUUUUCUCUUGCUGCCUUUAGGAUCCUCUCUUUAUCACUAACUUUUGCCAUUUUUAUUAUGAUGUGUCUUGGUGUGGGUCUGUUUGGGUUCAGUUUGUUUGGGGCCCUCUGUGCUUCUUGUAUCUUGAAUCCAGUAUCCUUUAGAUUUGGGAAGUUUCCAGCGAUAAUUUCUUCAAAUAUAUUUUCCAUUCCCUUAUCUUUUUCUACUCCUUCUGGAAUUCCUAUUAUGCGUAGAUUGGCCCGCUUUAUAUUAUCCCAUAGGUCUCUUAUAUUGCUUUCCAGUUUUUUGAUUCGGUUUUCUGUCUGUUGACCAGAUUGAGUGAUUUCCAUUAUUCUAUCUUCCAUAUCACUGAUUCGUUCUUCUGCAUUAUUCAUUCUGGUUUUUACUGCCCCUAGUUCAGUUUGCAUCUCUGCAAAUGAAUGUUCUAGUUUUUCUUGGCUCCUCCUUAUAUUUUCUAGUUCCUUUCUGAGGGUAUCUGCAUUACUGUUCAUAUCUUCUCUUAAUUCCUUCAGUAUUUUCACUAUUUCUCUUUUGAACUCCAGGUCUGUCUGACUGCAGAGAUCUGUUUCAUUGUUGACUGUUUUAGGUGAGUUCUCCUGUUGGUUUGACUGGGGGUGGUUUCUCAGCUUCUUCAUCUUGCUUGUUGUUUUCUUUCUCCUGAGGGAGUUGUACUCUCCGUUAUCGGGCAGUGUUUGCCUUGUCACUGCCGUGGAAUAUUUCCUGAGGGCUGGCGUUGUUGGUCAAUCUUUUUUGAGGCAGUGUGGCUUUUCUGGAGUGUUGGCAGAGCUAACAGGGUCUCUCUGAUGCAAAGGAGGACUUCCUGAGGGCAGACAGGACUGGGAGGUCCACACCACGAUGGUAGCAGAUUCACUUGGUCAUGCAGAGCUUGCUCUGGUGUUUUUAGGCUGUGGGGUUCUUGUAGGGGUUUGGCGGUGUUGGGCAGCUGUUUCUCUGGAGUGCAGCACCCCCUGGGGACUGGAGCAGCUAUCUGGGUCACUGAGAACCUAAGAGGCUCUUCCCUAGGGCAGCCCAACUCAGAAGGACUGUCUGAGAAUGUAGGCGGAUCUUUUCACAGUCUGGCCAAGCUUGUUGUAGCUUUUCUGGGCUGCAGGGGCUCUUCCAGGGGGCUGGUGGUGCUGAGCAGCUAUUCUGCAGGAGUGGGGCACCCCCUGAGUGCUUGGGUGGCUAGCAGGACCGCUGAAAACCCAAGAGGCUCCUCCCCAUGGCAGCCCGAUUCAGAAAGACUAUCUGAGAUCUUUUCCCGGCUCGGCCAAGCUUGUUGCAGUUUUUCUGGGCUGCAGGGGGUCCUGCCUGGAGCUGGCAGUCCUAUGCAGCUGAUCCACUAUUUCUCAGCACCCCCUGGGGGCUUUGGCGGGUAGCAGGGCCACUGAGAACCCAGGAGGCUCCUCUCUGGGGCAGCCUGACUCAGAAAAACCGUCCAAGAAUUAGGUAGAUCUAUUCAUGGCCUGGCUAGGCUUGUUCUAGCUUUUUUGGGCUGCAGGCCUUUCUCGGGGGCUAGUGGUGUUUGGUGAUGCUCUGUGGAAUUGUAGCCCCUCAAAGGGCAAGCAGGCCUGUGAAGGGACAGCCCCUGCGGUUGUAGGCUUCAGGCAAUUGUUGAGGCCAGCCCUCCUGGAUGGCAGGCAGCCCCAGGUCCGGCGAGAGCGUAGGGGGUGGCAGGGGUGGGGGGAGGGGAUGCACUGGGAAGCACAGCUUUCUGCUAGCUAGCGGGCCUGUAAGCUUGCUGUGGCAUGGGGGGUAUUCUAUGGGGACCCACCCCUUCUUCUCUCCCCUCCCCAGCACGGGCGCAGACCAGGCUCUUCUCCCAGGUUCCCUCUGAUGCGGCUUUCCAAUUCCCUGCUCCUAGCGUAUUGCUCCCUUCCUCUGCGACAGCUUUGUUUUCUAGUCUUCCAUGCAGUCUCCGAUCCGCCCCUCCUCCCCAGCCUGUUCUCGGGGACUAACCUCUGGAGCCGAGGUCUCGUGCCCAGCCCCCACCCAGGCGUCCCCCGGCCCUUUCCUGGGGACUAACCUCUGGAGCCGAGGUCUCGGUGCCCAGCCCCCGCCCAGGUUUCACCCGUCCCUUUCCUGGGGACUAACCUCUGGAGCCGAGGUCUCGGUGCCCAGCCCCCACUCAGGCAUCUCAAUUUUUGGUGACUGUGCCCGUAGUUCAGAUGGUCUGUUUGGUUCUUGAUUGGCUUUUCAGUACUCCAACUUAUUGCUACACUCUUCUCUGCAUCUGGAGAUUCCUCCGGUUCGUUUGAGCUUUCCCCCGAGUAGGUGACUUUCCAGGGGGCGGGAUCCCUUUCUCCUCCGCAGUUCCCUUUCGGGAACGCCCGUCCCACUCGGAUUUCCCUUCUCUCACUCUCCUCUUUUCUCCCGUUCUGCCCAAUAAUGUCAUGAUCUUCUUGCCGUUAUUGGAGUUUAGGUUCCUCUGCCAGCGCUUGGUUGC
rnacentral:lncRNA from 1 species